GCUGUUCUGAGCAUUAUUUGUGGCUAUAGAGUGGCGUUUUGGUUGAGGUUUGUUUAUGGCUCCUGAGAUCGCUGUCUAUUGCUAUCAUGCGGUCGUUACUAAAGUUGGCAUAACUAGAGAAGCAAGCGGUCAGCAACAUUUAUCUCUCGAGGGGGUGUCUAACUCGGUGUUAUGGUGUGUUUGACCCCUAAUUAAUUUUACGCCGGAAUAUCCCUUUAAACCCUAGCUUGACUUCACUGUGCAUGUGAAUAUACUGACUGCAGCUCAUAUGGGGUCUUACUGAAAAAUGGGCCAAAGAAGGAAAGUAGCACACCUGCAGAGGCUGGACCAUGUGAUUUGAACAGAAGAGCCACUGAAGCUUGAAUGAAAGAGGAAAACUGUAAAGACAGAGAGAAGAAGCUUCUUUUCAUGGCUUUGCAGAUGCAAACACAGUUGCUCUAUAGGCCUAUUUGUUUGCUCCUGUCGAUAAAUCCAUGCGCUUUGAUGCGCUUUCUUUCUGUACAGUACUGCAGAGGACCAUUCACAGCGCAUGGGAAUGAUCAUCAAACAGGAACGGGCCCAUCUUCUUUCUACUGUGUUUACAUCCACACAUCCUAAUGGCUCUUCCCAAGCUGUCAGGCGGCCUGUUGAUCAAUAGCUGCACUCAAGUGUCCUCAGUGGAGAACACAGAGAAGGACGCAGAAAUACAUCAACACAUAAUACCCGGUAUUUAUUUAUACUCCCAGUGUGUGUGCCCUUUUCUUUAUUCCCACUGUAAACAGUGUUGUUGAUGGCACCAGUGAUAAAAUGAGAUGUCAGCUCUUAUUGUCUGCCUUUACUCAUCACCCCGGCUAUUUUAGCUUCUUGCUGUGCGACCACAGCAGAGCAGACGAUGAGGGCCACUUGAGAGUUGUGCUUCUUCUCUGCGGCCUGAUAAAUCCCGGACAGAACGGUGUGUCACAAAGGCUGCAGAGGUGGCGUCAGAGAGAGUGAGAACGGGAAAUGGAAAUUGAGCACAUGCACUUCAAAAGGGGAAGGCUGGGAUUCAAUCAAGGCUGCGCUGACUGAUCAAUGGGAAACAAAUGAGAGCAUGGUCUAAGACUAGUAUGAUGUAAGGACGGUCAGAGGAUUUCCUCACAGUCUUGAAUUAAGUAUGAGGAAGAAGGACACGAUAGCUGUGUGAAAAUCUUUUGUCCAAAAACAACUAAUUGCAGCAGGAAAGUGAUGUCUAACUGAUCCGUAUUUUACUUCUAAUGCAGCCUGUGCAGAAUGUAAAACUCUCUCCUCAGCUUUUAUCCUUACCAAAAUAACUUCUUAGCUCAGAGCAGAAGCUACUCAGAUAAUUUACCCCCUGCCACUCUGUAUUUCUGUUUUUUCCCUGACCUUGAUUUCAAGGUAAGCUCUAAAAAAAACACAGCUUACGCCUGCUAAUGCACUGCGGUUUGACCUCGCUCUUGUAGGACCGCACAGAUUCUAACUGGUAAUGGUUAUUGUUCGGGAGUCGUGACCCUCGAUUUAGCUGGGCUGGUUUCACCCAGGCAUGAGAGUGAAGUUGACAAACAGCCACGCCUGUAAGCGGUUUUCCAAUCUGACCUUUGACCUGGCUGUAUAAAUUGGACUUAAUGUACAGCUACGACUCAGUGUUUUCUAUUUUUAUCCAUUCGCACACAAACAAACAGCACACACUUAUAUGUCUAUUGCCCAUAAAAUGCAAAUCCUUGUUUCAGGCCACAUUCACAUUAAAGUCCUUUUGAUGGUAACAAAUUAAAUAUCAGCAAUUUCUGCAUUUAAAAAAAAAAGAAGAAGAUAGAAAACCCAAGUUUAAGUAGGAAAAGAGCAAAACAUGAGAAAUUUAAGCACUUGCUGCAGCCAUGGAAGCAAUUUCUGAUCGCUUCAGGAAAAAUUCAGUUGGCUUUCAAAUAUAACAUUGAAACUAAAAUGACUAAAAUGUGACUGCGUUCUGAAACUAAACCAGGACUUUCAAUAAAAAAUGGCUAAAACCUAGCUUAAACUAAAAGGCUUUUUCAUCUAAUUACAAGAAGUAAAUCCAGAAUAGCUCCCAAAAUUAACACUGAUGGUCUGACAAGCAUCAACAUUCUGGUUUAUUGGUGGUCAGUCCCACCAUUUCUAAUUAAUUAAAAUCUGUAGAGCUUUUGAAUUGUGACUUUUUCAAAUUACUAUAUAUCCUCAAAGUGGCUCAUGCCAGUCUCCGGUGGGUUAAAGUUCCUUUAUAUACAUUAUAUAUAUUCAGUAUUUCUUUCCCUGGCAGCCCCACUGUGGGCCUGACAGUUAUGGUUAUGAAUGAAAUGUUUUGCCAACGACUUAAUGCCCUGUCAUAAAUUUUGGCUCUUAAGCUCACCUUCAACAGUCUGUAAUUACUUUGGCGAUCCUCCGGCUUUCCAUUCACCUAAAGCAAAAAAAAAAAAGUCAGAUACUGUGAUUUAUAACUAUAAAUGCCUGAAAUAUUAAUAUUACCUGUGGCCUAAGGCAACCCUUUGAGUCGGGUCACUCAUAGCUCAUAAACACUCUACACUAAGGUGGUGAAGAUAAUAAGACAAAGCCCCAAUUAACUGAAUAUCUGUGUUUAUGAAAGAAAACAAGGGGAAUAUGCUCAGUUAUGGCAAACAUAAUCUCUUUUUGACUUUCUUUGACUUGAUUCUAAUUCGCAUAGACUGUAUCUAGAAUCUGUCUGCCUCCUCGCUGGGUGAAGCCACCCCGAGAGGGCUGCUGUAUAGGUCAGAACACAUUGAACAAACUUUGGAAAUAAUUACACAGAACAUAAUUUUUUCUCCACACUGCUUGUGAUUGUUGACAUGUAGUCAUUGUAAGACUGGUUUGUGCUCAAGUCCUCUUUUUUCUGUGCAGCUCGGUUUUUAAAAGUUAUUAGGCUGUAUCAGGUGUCAAUCAUAGAAAACAUGAACCCCCUAUGGGCGUAUGAAGAUUGCGUAGCUCACACGGGGGAUACGCUGUUUGAGCCGAGCGUCAUCACAGCAACUCUCAGCGACUCUCCCGCCGAAUGCGUACAACGCUACUGCGCAAUGUUGGUUUCAGGAAGUGGAGAAAAAUCGCUGAAUUACUGAGAGCUUUUUGGCUUCAAAUCUGUAUAUUGGCAGGAGGCGGAACCAAGUUGUCUGUAGUAUAUACAUGGUAAUGGUCUAUGGUAAUUACUUAUAGUUUCCAAGUUAUGAAAACUAUGCGCUGCAUCAUUUUGGUGACACCAUUUUUGCUCUAAUGGACGUACUUUGAUUGUACAUGUUUGUUAACUUUUUUUAAAUUGCAUAUGAAUCUAUACAAAAUCUCAAACUAAUCUGCUUAUAUCUAACAAUGUUUGACCUUUUGGAAGGUUUCACCAACAUUUCAGGGCCUCUUGAGUGGCCAACAGUUGGCGAUAAUGGACUUUGGUGCGUGACUUCAUUACACUACACUUGUAUUUGUUUACAAUCCAUCUAGGAACUUACAAAAUGAGAAUGGAGUUAGUUUGACAGACCGUGUCCAAGAUUGGUUUUGUAGCUGCAGUUGUUUACAGAUAUCCAUUUGGACAUAAAGUCAUAACCUUAGUAUGACUCAGAACAGAUUAAAAACUGUGUUUUGCCUCCUCUUCCGAUAAUAGACUAAUAAUCUUUUUACAACCUUAUUUGCUUCAGUGGUUUUGUUGUUAAUACUGCACUGGGACCAAACCCAGAACACUGCCCAUACAGAAACUCAAUUCUGCGAUUGCAGAUUCAGAACAAAUAUGUAUUUUAUAUAAAUAACAAACAGAUUUAGUUCAAUUUAAAAGAGAUUUAACGCAUCAAACAAAGAUUGUGUUUCUUCCAGCUGAAAAUGGUAAAACACAUGAUAAUUUAAAGCAAUGUAGUGUGUGGCUCCUGAAACCUGAAAGGAAAAGUUCAAUUGCUUCUCUAUUAUUUUAAAAGCACUUUUUGCUACAUUGCUUGCAUGAAUUAAACUAUUGAGAACAGGAAAUGUAUAAAGAGACGCAUGUAUAUUUACUGUAUCUACGCUUCAUGUCCAUUUUAUAUGUUUGUACAGCCUCUGUCUCUCCGAGGUUGAUGGGAGGAUUAUUAAGGCCACUACUCUGUCAUACAGCAGCCCAUAAUAAAGUCUUCAGAAGUCCCUUUUAGACUUUGUUUAUGCAUUAUUUAAGUCAGCGUGUAAUACAGUGACCUACUAUAGAACUGGCUAUUUUUAACACCAAUUACUACCUCCCAGGAGAUGAAGAGAGAAUAAAAGACAAGCGGGAAAGAAAGAGAGAGAGAGAGAUUUGAUUCAAAGUAGAGAGUGUUACACUGAAGUACUGAACCAUCCACAAACCCCCUCCCCCCAGACCUAUCUUCCCUUUCUGAUCAUCAGCAGAUGAUAUCCCAGCUGUAUUACAGAGUAGGAGGUGGCAUCUCCUCUUCGUUUCUCCUCCUUCGUGGUUCAAUUAGAGAGGUGUGUCGGGCGCUUCUUCACAUGACCACACACACAUUCACGGACAUGCCAAACAGAUAACUGAGCAAUUUAUGUCCGGAUAUAGCUGCUGCUCUGGUCACAGGCUCCCAGCCAAGCACAUAAAGGGCUUCACACACCUCGAGUCUUAAAUUAGCAACAAGUAUGCCCAAGUGGUCAUCAUUACUUCAUCCUAAUGCGGUCAGGAAGGUGACUCUUGAAGGAUGGAACUGCAAUAGCCUACUCUCUACAUUGAAAUACAUAUCAAACAUAUAUAUUUCAAUCAUUGUAAGUUAUAAGUCAUCAGCACAAUCGAGAUGAUUAAAAUGUUGUUGAAGAUCGGUCCCUGAAAGUAAAUAACUGGUGGUCCAAAGUGAAAUCUUGAAGCCAAAAGUCCCCGAUUCCUGGAGACAGUCCCUGCAUUGGAUGACCUGUCCUUGGCUAAAGCUGUCCCUGGAAAUGUCUCUGACUUAAGCGUUUCAUGAAUGAGAACAAAAAUGUUGCGUGUAGACUAGAACGGUUGUUACAGUAGCCAAAUAGGUAGGAAGCAUGAGUAAGCAUGUUGUGCGCAGUCCUGAACAACAGUUUUUACGGGGGGUUGUUACAGAGGGUGUGCGGUGCUUCUAAGUAGUACCAAUGUUGUCUGUGAUCACGCAGCCCACCCCAUCCCCCCGCUCUGGAUUUCCCCAGAUUUCACUACAGAAAUCUGGUCACCUUAGUACACUUUGCAAUUAUGCUAAUGCCAAGUAUGGACACUUUAAUACGAUGGGCAUGGUUUUACUGAAGUGAGAUAUUUAUAAAUUUCUAGAUAGAUUGGACCUUACAAACGAAUGCUGUGUUUACUUUCAAACUGACAGCAGACUUUUGGUACUAGCCAUUCAGUGACUUGUUAAAAGGAGCUCUUACCUUAUCCUUGACUGAUUUUGACUUUCUGUAGAAUUAUGAUUAUCUGCUGCAGCUGUUUUGGGUUUAAUCCCAUUGGCUGUCGUUAGAUUUGGGCUUUUGGCUUGCAAACCCACAUAUGUAUAUAACAUAAGCUAAAAACACACAGCUGUCAUUAAACAUAGGAUGACCUUAUGUCCUCUUUUACCCGGACAUGUCCUCUUUUGGGGGGGCUGUCCAGGCUUGUCCGCCUCUGUCCGGAGAAGUUUGUCAAAUUCUUCAAAUGUCUGCGGUUUUGUACAGAAGUUUUGAGUUUGUGUGAUGUUGACUUACUGAGUCAGAAGCAUGUAAAAAGACACUCAAUCCUACUUGAAAAACUCUCAAAAUUAACUUUGUGCGACUCCGUGACUCCAGCCCUGCACAGUCGUGUCUUCUUUUUAGGAAGUCAGGAUAUGGUCACCCUAUUAAACGGUACUUUUAUAGCUUUAAGAACAGAUAGAAUGAAGUGCACGAAUAUGUUGCUAGGAUGUCAAAUAGGCCUGUUGCAGUAUCAGAUUUUUACCCCACAUUUAACAUGCCAUAAAAUAUCAUGAUAUUAAUACAAACUUGAAAAUAAAAAGACACAAAUUGAGAAAAAGGGGAUACAAAGAUGGAGAAAAAUAUUACUUCAUAAACUUCAUUUCGUAAUCCUGUAUUAUACUUCCAGUAGGUCAUAAGUGACAGAAUUUAUAUAGUUUGACAACACGACCAGAAGUGUAAAAGUGCUGAAUCAUCUCUCAGAGGGCUGCUUCAGUUUGUUAGCUGACAGUCUGCUACUCCUCUUCACCUAUCCUCCAUUGUAUUAACUGUGGCACUACUAUAAACGUAUGGUACUUUCAUAUGCCUGUUUUUAGCAUGAUAUCAAUAAUCUAUUUCUAAAAGAUGAUGGUCUCACCAAAAUCUUAAUUAACUACUCCUGUUCAAACCUUGAAAAACGGUCUAAAUAAACCUGCAUUUUAGUUACAUCUUCUAAUAGUUUGUUUUUGUUAGUUUCUCUCAGGUAUGAGAUGAAACUUCCCUUCAUCUUUCUUCUUCUUCUUCUCUCUUCAAAGACACUGCGACGACCAGCGACUGUGAAACAAUCGUGUAGGCACAGGAUGAUAAGGAUUAGGAGAUGAUUAGGACUCCGAGUGGGGGAAGUCAGGGCUCUUAUCAGUCAAAUUAGUGCGUUAAUGGCUUCAAGGUCAGCUGCUGGAGCUUUUAAAAGACGACUCAUGCUUUUAACACCCUCACAAGCCCUCUGUCUAUGUAAGAGGAGCUUUAAGGAGUCACAUUAUCUGCUGAAACUGUCUUGUCAUCCAUGUGGUUGAAGAUCUUCGUGGUUUUAAGAGACAAUCUUUUUAAUAAAGCGAAAAGGCUUCAAUCUAUUUAUGUCCACAUAAUCUCAUCUUUUGUUUUUGCCUUUUAUAUUCACGCCGAGGCUUCUUCUUGUAAUACUUCUUGCUUGAGUUUGAUCGAUUGUGAUAACCUUGCCAGCUGAUUUUAUUGAGCUUAUGUUUGGGAAAAAGAGGCUCACUUCAUAAUAAAAAUCCAAGUACUUGCCAUAUUUUUUUUCCUGGCAUGUCCACCCUUUUCCAGCUUCCAUGUGCUUUAUGCAGAUGGUUCCUGUUGGACAGGCCACUAAAGGAAAUCACAACAAUAGAAGGGGGGGUUGGACUGAAUAGUAAAACUCGUGCUUUCCCAGACUAGUACUGGGUUAGCAUUUACCGGCAUGCUGUCCUCAUGUGCGCACACUCUCUUCUCAUUACCGCUCCCUCUUAUCAGUGCAGGUCAACUAUCAGUAUGUUUACAUGUUGUUCAAAAAUCCAUAUAUUGAGUUAAACUAACUGAAACUGGACUUUAAACAUACGUGCAAACACAUUAAUCAGAUUGAAAUCUCAUUAAAUCUAAUUUCUCCUGUUGGGCGUAACAUUGGAGAUCGAUUGUUUCUUACAUGUUUGCGCCUCCAUCAAAGUCAAACUGGCCCAAGUGUUUUUCACAAGCGCUUUCGUUUGCACAAUCAGCCUCAACCUGAAAGUUUAAUAGCAUGUAGUAAUAGGCGAGUUAGAGACAGGCUAAUGGGUCAUUCCAUGUCAAUUCAACCAAGAAUCUCCACUCAGGUCACAGAUUUUGAUUAAAUUUGGUGGAGUCAUUGGCCUUCAGGAGAAACUGUCAGAGCUCAAAUAUUUUUGUUCAAAACCAUCUAAUUAGUGAGAUAGGGGCUAAUGAAUUUUUGGCUAACUAGCAUGACAUGCGUUACAAAAGUGUUCAUAUCUCUGGAAGUAUGGCACCUAGAGAGCUGAUUCAGGUGUCAUUUUAAAGCUCUUCUCCCAUGAAGCUUAGAUCAUUCAUAUUCUGGAUAUAGGUGCAAAUAGAAAUGAAAUGCAAUGAAAAACUGAGCAAAAAUAAUCUAUUCUAGCCAUUUUUCAUAUAAAUAUGGGAUAAUAUACCUAUGAAAAAACUCAAAAAAAGCAUUUUGCACUAUGAGGAAGUAAUAUUUUACACAAGCAGGCAAGUUGGGCUGACUCCAGGUGAGGUCAGGACUGUAUAAUGUGCCAAAUUUGGCGAUUUUUGACCUAAUGUAUCACACAUUUUGACUGAUUACUCAAAAAGUUAUGGAAUGCCCAUCCUGAAACUUGCAGGGAUGCUAGUGGACAUGAUAGUCUUUCUUAAGUGUGAAUAUAAAGAAAAUUGAAGGACGUGUGUUUUUUGCUAUUUCCAAUUUAAGUUUUUGGUGUUUUAUAAUUUUUUUCUGGUCCAAUUUGGGAACAAAAAGAUAGAACUUGAAGAGAGCUUUAAAAUGACACCCGAAUCAGCCCUCUUGGUGCCAUACUUCCAGAGAUAUGAACACUUUUGUAACGCAUGUCAUGCUAGUUAGCCAAAAAUUCAUUAGCCCCUAUCUCACUAAUUAGAAGGCUUUGAACAAAAAUAUUUGAGUUCUGACAGUUUCUCCUGAAGGCCAAUCACUCCACCAAAUUUCAUCAAAAUCUGUGACGUGAGUGGAGAUUCUUGGUUGAAUUGACAUGGAAUGACCCUAAUGUAUCUUAAAGGACUGGUGUCAAAUCAUACUCCCCCUGGUGUUCAGCUUCUGAAAUUUUCAGCAACACAGUGAGAGUUCCUGACUCCUAUUUUCUGUCUGCCUCAGCCUCUUACUUUUCUCUCUCCACAACUAAUCAAGUCCCCGGUAUGACCAACCGUGGUGAAGCAUAGACUUGUCAGCAGUUGUCUCAUGAGGACAGAGCGCUCGAAUCUCACGUUCUCGCUCCGAUCUGCAGCGCAAUAUUCUAUCGACGUGGAGAUGCAUGUUUUACACAAACACCUAAACUCUUCCAUGUGCUGCAUAUGUUUGUUUCUCACACAUACAUACAUACAUUCUUAGUGUUCAGAGUUUCAAUUACAGCUGGUACCUGCUUGCCUGUCCCACAUAGAGGAUGAAAUGCCAGGCGGUAUGACAGGUGCGGGUGGAUAUUAUGCUUGUGGAGCAACCUCGGCCUGCUGCAGAGAAAGCCAGAGAGGGAGGGAGGGAAAUAUUAACAGCUGAAUAAAAUGAUGGUGACAGCAGAAAAUGGCAGCGGCGCUCCAACAUGGUGCUUAUGGAUUUAUUUGCCAUGUGUGACUCGAAGUGGGGAGAUAGAGAGAUAUGUCACCGGGAGUCUCUGGAUGACAUUUUGUCAUCACUCUCUCUGGUUAGGUCUCAGUCAUAUGAGACCUACUUUAUGUAAUGACAUAAUGAUCCCUAUUUUAUGCAUCAUGGAUGAACCCUGCUGUGGCACUUUAUGCAGCCUGCACAACGACUGGAGGUAAAAAUUUACAUGAGCCUCCAGUAGAUUCAAUUUCCUUGUUUUUCUUAAACAAUUCGUCUUACUUUCCUCUCUCUCAGUUUGAACUCUUUUUUUUAAUCAGUUCCAAUCUGGAAAUCUGGGAUGCAGUUUGGUAAACAAAAGCCAACUUUAAAUGAACUACCAAACGAGUUUACUCAGAACUGAAAACAAAACUCCUUCAUUGCUUCACCAAAUUGCGAGCAGAAUGAGGUCAUUAAUGGAAAUUCACCACAGCCACCGUGCCCCAGCACUUUUUCUGCAUGGAUUUCAGGCUUUAAGGAUCCAAAUUAAACACACUUUUCUUCAAUCAGAUAUAUGGCAUGUGAAAUACAGAUAUAUUUAAGUCCAUGUCAAGUCAAGGGGGAAUCUAUUGGUCACAGGAAUGAAAGUCAGGAAACUUUUAAUAAAGCAGCAAAAAGUUUCUUUUUACACAGUUUUGUUGAAAUGUUGUGCUUUAGCUCUCCAUUCAGCCAUGUUAGCAUACAUUAGAUACUGUUGUCCUAUAUUAUGCUGUAAUGUUACUAACAGGUUAUACUUACAAGUCAGCGUAAAAAAUCUUAAUCGGUAUCGGUAAAGACUUUUCAGAGUUGUCUGUUUUGAUACAUCACUACAGGUGACAAAGGUAAAAAGUUAUAACAUCAGCAACAUUAAGGGCCUAUGUCCACUAAUGGCAUUCAUCAAUCUCCUUUACAGAACCAGUGCAAUUUAGCAUUUUCAGUGUGAAGGUACGUGAAGAUACAUGGCGAGUCUAUUUUUGCUGCUCUACGCUUCCAAUGCAUGUCAAUCCACAGAGAGAGGAUCGUGACAGGAAAUCAAACACAAAAAACGGGCAUGUCAUUCAGUAUUUCAAAAUAAAACACCAUAUGUGGACUCCCGACUGUGUAUCAGUUUAUGUAGAGGAGAAAUACUUCCUGGUUAUGGAUUUAUCAGUAAUACAGAACAAUCCGACCGGGGUUGCACUACGCUGCUGCCAUGCUCCAAAUAUGCAUUUUGUAUACGAUACUAAAUGCUGCUAUACAUAACAAAUACGGAACACACUCAAGACAGAUCCUGUAUGUUUUCAGCUUUCAUGUUGGACUUACAGUGCACUCAGAUGAAAAAUAGUUGAACCCAUGGAACACUGCCUCUCAGUCCAGCAUCACUUUCCUCCACUGACCAAUCAGAAUCAAGAAGAAGCAGGAAGUCUGACACCAACUUAGUUAACAAGUAGAGUUGAUGCCUCCUCUGUUACAGAGAAAUUUCCCCAGUUGCUAAAGCAAAAGGCAGACUUUUUUUUCAGUUGUGUGUAUAUUAAACUCCUAAAAUUCAAUUUUAUCAAAGAAAAAUAAAACAUACUGAUGAUUUUAAAGUGGACUGUGACCCAACGGCUGAAAUACCAAUGAAAAGCACUUUGACAUUUGAAAUUGAAUUGUAUUUACUUUCACUGCAGAAAACUCUGUUAGCGGACACCGGCCUUUGGUUUAAUAGUGAACAUUUCUGCUACUUCUUGCAGACUAGAUCUAAUUUUAGAAAUAAUUAAACAAUUUAAAAGGAACACAAAUGCAGGAUUGCUUACUCCACUUUGUGCAUUUUGUCAAAAUGUACCACACGGUAACAUUGUGUGAUUGUAGAAGCUUCUACUUUGUCUUUUUUGGCGUGUUUCUUGCUAAAACGCUCAAUUUUUAAACUUUCUUUUAGUUGAGUUAUGUCGGUGAAGAAGUGCAACACAGCUUGAAAUGUGCCUCUUGCAUUGGCCUGCAAGGUUGGCGCUGAAUUACAUCAGCGCUGUGCAAACAGUGAAUUACCGAUCAUUGCAUCUCAUGUCAUUUUUAUUCAACUUGUCUUGCUUGUGAAAGGUCGGUGUCAACACAAGCCCUGCAAAAAUAAUAAAUAAAUAAAUAAAGUAAUACCUUGUGGUUGCCAUAUCCUCUGCCUUCCCCUCUAUGACCAGGAAAUCUUAUCACAGGAACCACUGCAUAACUGAAAAAAAAUCAACUCUUCUAAAUUCAGAGAGUUCAAGACAGGUUGCCCAUUGAUUUUUUUUAGUGGUGCUGCAUCUCAUGUGCUCCUGUGAUGGUUUAGAAAAAAACCUACAAAGACAUGAAUCUCUGCGUCACCUCUAGCUCUCCUUGAUAGUACGAGUACUCGACACAGUUUCUGCAACAGACGCUAUCAGAUAACAGAAUUAGAUGCUGAGAUCCUUUCCCAUCAAUUAUCUGGGUGCUCUUCCAUGUUAGACUCCUGCUGCUUCUCAGUCAUCCUUUCUCCCCAACAUCCUUGAGGGAGGAUAAGUUGAAAUGCCGUAUCGAUUUCUACCAUUUCUCACAUUGUUGCCUUCAGUGGUUGGCUGGUUUUGGUAGUGUUACUUUAAUUCUCUUUUUCAGUCUCUCACUUCACUGUAGCAUGUCAGAUAAAACAGGCAGAGUCUACAAAAGAUCCACGACUAUGCUAACAGUCAAAAAAAGCAUCUCAGGUCUGGUUGGUGAACAAUGUUGAAGAGCGUGAAUAACUUUAAAACAAAAUUCGGAGACAUCAAAGACCUCCAGAAAUGCAUCUCCGAAACCCAAAGGGAAUAUUACACUCCUCUUUUAUUUUCUCCUCCUUUGUUCGUUUAAAUCUUCCACUUUUCAUCUUCAGUCUCCUGGACAAUGAGGAGGUAUCUGGUGAUUUCAAUGUCAGAGGGAGAAGCUUUUUUUCUUUCUUUCAUGUAUGCAGAUGAAACAUGUAAAAUCCCACAGGUUGCCGUCUAAAUCAGUGAUUCCCAACCAUACCCGUUUGUACUACAGGGUGUAAAACUGUAGUUGGAGAAUAAGUGGGCUGAUUGUGGAGAAGGUAGUAGAAGAAAUUAGGAUUUGAUUGAAAAUACAUGCAUGAAUUUGACUUUAGAUGACACCUAGCAUGGGCUAACAAUUAGUUACAAUGUAACAGAUAAGUAACUACUAAAGAAGUAGUAAAGCAGGGUUGCCAGGUGUACAAUAAUUACCGUAUUUGUGCGAUAAUUUUGCCCUCUGUACGAUCAAUAACCAAGAAAAAAGGCCAAAUGUACGAUAAUUUGACAGUUUCGUGAACGUAUGGUGCAAUAGGACUGUUUCAGUCUGCCAGACUCUUCAUUUUUCUGUUUUUUAUUUGCGAACCCUGAAGGCAUCUUUCACCACGUGACGUUUCCAUCCAGUAGUAGUUUGAGCGACGUUUGUCUACGAACAACAAGCAUGAUUGGCUGUCAAUCAUGCUCAUUCGGUUAGUCAGUUGAAAAGGACGGUGAUUACCGGGAGCCAAAUCCUCGUGUGAGGACAAGUUGAUUUUUGUGUCUAAAAUAGAUUUCACUGAGUUAAGUCAGAUUACUCUGUUUUUCCUGGUCAGUUAUUAUGAAUAUUGUUUCACAAAAGUAGGUGGCCUCAAGGUCUCAUAGUUUGGCUCAUUUUAAGGGGACACAUUUGUGUAGCACAGCUGAGUUGGAGUAGCUGAUCAUACGCUGCUGAUGUGGGGCGGGGUGGUGAAUGGCCACAAAACUGUAGCCACAAAAUCGUGAGUGACUGUAGGACACUAAAUAGAGUGACUAUAUGUGACUAUUAUGCAACAGUAAUGUUGUUAUUUUGAUUUUGAUGAGUGUAAAAUAUUUUUUUCCCAAAUACGAUAAGUUUGAGUCUCUGAUACGAUAAUUCUAUAUUUCCCAUCUGGUAACACUGUAGAAAGUAACAGACACAAUGUUAAUGAUAAACUUAAAUUUACAUAGUUAUCAGAUUAUCAGAUUUAACGAUUGUCCGUGUCGCAGUUUACAAGCACUGGGCAGAAAUCAAUUUAUUGACAGAAGUGUGUUCACCUCUGUUACAGUAGACGACGACACGCCCCCUUUCAGCUUGGGUCGUCUUCAUACUGACACAUUCGGUUUCAAAUCAGUCAAAUUGUCACUUGAACAUCUCUGUAUGAUUUGAUGCCUUGCUCAAGCCACUUCAAAAGUGCUCAGGAGGUGACCUAGCUACCCGGUCAAACUCUUGAACCAGCAACCCUCCAAUCCCCAACCCUUCCAGACUGAGCUACUGCCGCCCCUUUCUUUGCUUGUUGAGUUUUUGUUUACAACUGGCUUCCUAGCAACGCAUCCAAUCUAUUCAGCUUCCCAACAAGCCUGGCAUGCAAACACUACGGCAUGCGCAGGACACCAGUUUCAGUUCGAUUGAGCCAGAGCAAAUCGACACCCAACCGCAUUAUCCAAGGAAUGCUGGACUAUGAAAGGCGAUUUCAGUCAGAAGUCAAGUUUCAGUCAGACAAUACAUCCAUUUUUUGAACAACAUUUAAACGUAGUGUGUAAUAUAUUGACUGCUAAUAGAAAGAAGGGUGAGAUUUUAAUCUUACCAGAAAAUACAACUACACACACGUAGGACAAAAUCUGUGGAAGUGUAGCGCUUCAUUGACACAGAAGUUUGAACAAUUGCCCGAAUAAAUUUUCACUGAAGUACAUGUUCAGGAACAUUUGAGUUAAUAGCUCCUGAAGGGUUACCUAAGCAUAUCUGAAAGAAAUGUUGAGGAAUGUGUUUUUCAAACUGCUGCUUCAUAUACUUUCAAUUAUUCUGAAGGUAACAGGGGUAGAACAGAACAGAACAGAACAGAACAGAACGUCUUAUUAUACUUUGUUCCUGUGUGAUUCCCAAUGUCCUGUGUUCAAAUAUAAUAAAAGAAGACCUUACUCAUUUCGCUGGUCCCCCAUUGAAACCCUUCAAGGACCCUCAGGGAUCCUCAGACCUCACAUAUCAUUAAACUACAAAUACUGGGAAAGAAAUAGGGUUGCAGCAGGAGGGUCUGCCGCUCUGCAGUGGCUCUUCCUCUCUUUUUUGUCUCCACUGAUUCCUCCCUGCAGGUGCACAAAUGAAGAACAGACUCACUACAUUGCUCACCGGCUUUGUUUUAAGUGCAGAACUUGAAAGGCCGCAGACUCCCACCCUGUUAAUUAGGCAAUUGAGAGAUCUGAGGCACAGGGGUAAUUUGGGUUAAAACAGCAACGUGUGUCAAGCAUUUAUCCAAAUGGCAUUUGCCAUCCACAACAAAGGUAGGGGGCAGCUGUGAUGUGAAUGCAGGCUCCUUUAAUAUUUCCUCUGCUUACACAUGCACAGGUUUUUAUUGCUCAGUGAUGAGCGGAUUGGCUGAUACGCUGGGACACGUACACUUCUUUCUACUCAUUGCACCCAAGUAAUGAAUUAUACCUGAAUUAAGAGCACCAUUAGAUGAGGUGAUUUACUUUCUCUCGAUCCUUUGAGAUUUUUUUUUCCCCGUUUACUGUACCCAUAUUUGGUUUGCACAGGGGGUAAAAAAAGCAAAAGAAAAGGGAAAAAAAGAUUGAUUUUAAUGGAUUUUGCUGGAGGAAACAUGAAGCAAGUUCAUUAAAUAACAAUGAGAGAGCAUCACAAUGUAACUUCAAAUGACGCCUCUAUGAGUAGGCUGUUUUUUUUUUUUACUCCGUGGCAGGAGCACAGCAGCCGUUUAAUAACUUGUCUGUUAUUCAUGAAAGAAGCAGGCGUAACCUUGAAGAAACCUUGUUUUCACAGAAACUCAUUUAAAGCUCAAAACAAAGGAGGAGAAAACUCAUAUCCCCCUUAACUGCGGUAUAUCUUCACUUGCUUGGUGGCACCUCUGUGGAGGAUAUGUUAUGUUCUUAAACUUCAUUCCAGCUGGGUUCGUAUUGUGAUAAAUCGAAGAGGUCUAAGAGUCCGCUUAGAAAACAAUGGAGGUGGAAACACAAAAAACUCUUUCUUCUCCUUUUCUUCUCUGGUUUAUUGCCUCUUUCUGUCCUGAACACAACAGCCUUAAUCAUCAGUGAGCAUUUGAAGCAGAAGUUAGUCCAGCUUUCAUUUGGAAAAGGGAAGUAAAAAUACAAAUUUAGAAGUUUUGCCUGUUUAAAGAGCAGUCUCUCCUGGCUAAUUAGAUCGCCUUAUCAAGUUGUUACCCUUGUGCUUCUCCAAAUCAGCAAUUAUUCCAUUUGCUUAGCGGAGAAUAUAUUCAUCACUUCCCCAUUAUGCUUUGUUUCCUCGUAAGAAUCAACUCUACUGCUCAGACGUCACAGAGUGGAGAUCAUGUCAACAGAGUACUGAAGGGAUUAACAGCACUGUACUUUGAUAAACUUGAUGGGUUUAAAAGUUUAAAAAGGUCAAGAGAAGGGCGUUCAGCGAGGCCAGAUGUUCUCCUAAGCCAAUGCUCCAAUCUUCUAGUAUCACAAUCAAUAUGUCAGGAUAUUUUUGUCAGAUCCAUGCUUGCCUGUGAGGCCAGCUCAGAUCUGGUGGAAGAUGUGAUGGAUUUUCUUGGCUCUGAAACACUUAUGCCAGUGUUUUUUUAUAUAUAUAAUAACUGAAACACAAACAGCUCCAAGAAAAUAAAAUCUCAUGGCGAACUGACCUCAAUCCUAAAAGAGCAUGACUGUGCUGUCUCCAUAAAGCAACCUACUAUCCCAAGUUAUAUAAUACCAUUAUCUUCAAAGUAAAUGGCACCAAAAUGUAAAUAAACUCUUUUCUUUGCAGGCUCUAGAGCGAUGAUAACAUGAUCAUGGUUAUAUCAUCAGGGUUGAAGCUAAAAGCUAAACCCAGAUCCAUUUAGAUUGUGUUUGUAUUCAUGGUUAGACAGAGCUACAUUGACUGUCUCCACACACCAAGCGUGAGUAAAAUCAUUUGUGCGAAUUUAUUAUAUGUUAAGUCAACGCAAAGACGCAAUUAGACGCUCCCACUAGUCUGGCGGCUCAGAUGAUGCAAAUUGGGCAGAAGGUGAAUAUGUUUCAACUCGAGCUGAUGUUCGCGUCGUGAAUUAAAUGAUACAAAUUAUAUGAUACCGACCUCUCCUGGUGGAAAGUGAGUGAGGAGGUCGGAUUACCUGGUAAAUUGUAAAAAACCUUUGUCUAUCACUUGAUCCCGCCAGUUCAAUUAGCAGGGAUCACCGUUGGCGCGCGAAUGAAGCAGGUAAAUACAAUUCAUUCAAGCGUCUAGAUUCGCGAGUAGACGAUUUUACUUGUGCUUGGUGUGAGCACCCUGUUACAACUUUAUUAUACAGUUUAUCUGGGCAACAGCUUUGUCUGAGUUUACAAGCUCCUGGUGAAAAUGGUUUUAUUAAUUCAUGCAUUCAUUUAUUGAGUCCCUUUCUGCUACAGUGGCUGGUGACAUGCCCCCUGUAAUUGUUGCCAUUAGACUUUCUCUUGGUUGACUGUUUUGCAAGUCCUAAGCAAAAGUCCACUUCCAGUUGAACUAUCACAAAAAGAUGUUUUUUGAACAACAUGAAAGCAUAAAGUCUAACUAAAUGAAAUUGUUUAACUUUGAUAAACCCUCUAAACUAAACUUUGACUAAUCUUAUUCUCCAGGCUUUUAAAACAAUAAAUCUGUGAAGUGUCCCUUUAGUGUAAGAACUAAUGCUCCAACGAAAUCAAUGUUGAAUAUCAGCUGAAGAUGAACUGUGGUCUCCAGUGUUGGAGCGCUGGUUCAUCCAUCUAAAUGUCCUGACCUCUAUUCGACUUCUUCCCAUCUGAUUCUAAAGAGCAGUUUUCCGUGGGUUUAAGCAACGUAGGAACGUGGGAUCACUGGCCUUUAUCGGUAACCUUCCACAGCUCUGCUUAGCCACCGCAUGAGUGUACAACCACCCUCUCAGUGCUCUGCUAUCUUCAUCCCAAUAACAUGUAUGAAGAGGUUAAGUACACCAGGACUUGAAUACUGAAAUCCUCUGAAGCCCUGGAGGCUUCUUUACCUUCUGCCAUUAGUAAACAGCGCCGCUUAAGUGCAUCAGCUGCUCGGCAAUGUAAAGAUGAUGCUUAACCCCAACGAUAUUGUUUUAUAUCCACUAUCAACAGCCAUAAGACAUUUCCCACACAAGAUGAUAUCCCACCCAUAACACACCCGCCUUUUAUCCAAAGAAGCCUGAGGCUAAAAGAAAACAUGAUCUGAAAUUUUUAUGCAGAGCUAAACCAGUGAGCUACAAGAGCAGACUCCCUUCUCAGAGACACCCUGGAAACCCUGAAGGAGACGCCACAGAAGCUUGGAAAUGUGCAAAUGAAGCUUCAUUACGCCAAUCUGAAGGCAUGACCGUGGGCGGGAGGUUAAAAUGUGUUAAUGUGCUGACCCUGGGAUUUUUCGCUGUUGGUCAGCAGGCCUGUUGUGAGGCUUCUGUGCAAGCUGAUAAUCCAGCAGUUUGGAAAGACAUGCAGACCUUCAUCUUAUGCAGAAAGAAAAGACCAUAUUCCCAUGGCAACUAUCUAUUUCUGAUGUCAAACUCAUAUUGAUGUCAUGUAAAAUUAAGGGGUUCAAGGAGCCUCAUUGAUUGAGAUAACGUGUUAACCACUUCCUUGUCAAGAGUUAAAUAAAAAAAUCAUGGUGAGAUGAAAAAAGAAAAACAUUUGCACAGGUAGACUGAUGAGACUUUGAAAGUGCUCAUGUUGAUGUUAGUGUCUAGGUUUACAUCAUGUUCAUCAGGCGACAAUACGAUCAUUAAGUUCUGUACAAGCAGGCGGUUUAAUCUUUGACUUUGUUAACUGGCGGCUUUCAACCUGUUACAACGCCAACCACAGAAAGUUACAGGAAAACAGGGUCACUUCUUAAAUCUUACCAAUCAGUACAAUUACAAAUUAAAUAAAUCAAUUUAUCUGAGUGAAACUAGACUUUUAAGAAGCAUAUAAACUCAUUAGUCUGACUGAAAUCGCCAAAGAAAGGCACCUGGUACCUCCAGCACAUCAAACACCUCAGUCACUAACCCGUCUCUUCUCCUCUGUUGUCCCUACCUCCAUUCGAUCCGCGGAGUCCCUCUCUACUUUCAAAAGACAGCUAAAGACCCAGAUCUUUAGAGAACACUACGCACUUAGCUAGAUUAUUCUCCACUGUUGUCCCCAGUGGUUGAAUGAGUCUUACCGUUACCGUAGGCUCACAGUGUCCUGCUCUACUUCUGGGAUUUUGUGCCCAGCUCUUUGUGAGUGACCCAGCACUUGGUACUUUGAUCAUUAUUGUGGUGACGACAAUUUAAUGAUGGUGAUGAUGAAAGGACUUACAUUGGUAAUUGGUUGCUUCAUGGUUGAUGUUUAAAAAAAAAGAAAAAAUCCUUUAUACACUUUGUGAAUCGCCUUCAACACUGCUUGGAAGCGCCUGUGUCCAAAUGGACUUGAAGAAUUUUGUGGCUCCUACUGAUCUUUUUCUUCUUGUCUAGAUCUUUGCUUGUUUUGGUCUCUUUCUCGAAUGUAAGUCACUUUGGAGAAAAACGCCUGCUAAAUGACACUGUAAUAUUGUAAUAUACCUGGAAUUAUGCAGUCUGAGACCAAUUUUGUCCCUCAUGUAUACAGAUCAACUAGACAGAAACUGGCCUUUCAACGUCUAACUGUCUCCACACACCAAGCGUAUGAAUUACAUGUUAAGUCAAUGUAAAGACGCGAUUAGAUGCUCCUACUACGCUGGCCGCACGCAUGAUGCAAGUUGGGCAGAAGCUGAAUAUGUCUCAACUUGAGCGGAUAACUAAUCAUGAUAACUAAUCAGCACGAAGGUUUCUGGAUGACAUAUGAAAACGGACAAUUGUUCACCGGUAUCUAAAAUGGAGGACAAUCUGAUCGUGGCGGUGUGGUCGCCCUAACUUGUUUGAUACCUUUUCCUUUAAUUAUAAAAAGCAGAAUAAAAAGGAGGUCGGAUUACCUGGUAAAUUGUAAAAAACUUUUGUCUAUCACUUGAACCCGCCGGUUGAAUUGGCUGGAAUUACCAUUGGAAUUACUGUUGAUGCGCAAAUGAAGCGAUUAAAUACAAUGUAUUCAUGCGUCUAGAUUCGCACGAAUUAAGCGAGUAGAUGGUUUAAUUGCGUUUGGUGUUAGCGCCCCAUUAUAGUGCAAAUUUGUUGCUAGGAAGCAGAGUAGUAAACACAACCUUGGUAGACGAAGUAAUGACGAAAAAAUGACAAAACUCCCCGUCGUACAAACAUAGAGAGCAGGGUUAUCAGCGAAUGGCGUACAUCCCAUCAGCCUUUCGUUAAUGAGUUUUAUCAAUCGUUUUGAUACCCAGAGAUGACCCACACAGCAAAGCACCCUGGUACAUUGUAGUACAUAUUUAUGGCUGGAUAAUGUUGCAUACAAAUAGACACCAACAUUAACAUGAGCGCUUUUCUAUAAGAAAUAACUUUGGCGUGUGUAAAUGUUUGUCCUUUCCUAUCGUGUCUGUUAUUUGUCACAGUUUCCCACAUUGAGCAUGAUGUCAUAAAACGAUGGCUGCUGUGUGAAAUGGUCUAUUACCCUGAUCACAUGAGGCCGAGGCAUGAGCGCUCUGGCGUUGGGUCAAUAAGAAAAAAGACGUCCAGUUUCUAAUGAGGUACUUAGUCCUCUUUAGUGUCUUUGCUUUUUAUGACAGCCUCACCUAAAGGGUUUAAUCUUCAAAGCCCAGUCAUGUGAGACGUGAAGGUGUUGAAUGACUCCUAAGAGAGCCUCGAAAAGCCUUUUGUACACCCUGAAAGACUGCCCUAUUUUCAAGCUUUUUAAAAGACUCACCUCCUUAUCGAGUGAAACCUCUUCACUUUGUGCAACACGCCCAUUUCUUCUCACAAUGUUUGCCUCCGUGGAGCAGAGUCACUCCCGUUCGGGCGCCCACUCUACCGACUUGCCAUUAAUGAUUACCUGCCAUGCCUGCACUGGGAGAUGUGCCUAAUUAAUUAUACAUGUAAACCAGGCCUUAUUUUAAACAGACUUUUCCGCCGAAUGAUACAGCUGUCAAUCAAAACCACUGAGUCGCAGCCAAGCCGCCGAGCGUGAGUCGCUGUCAUACUUUUGGCUGUUAGAAAAAAGGCGAAGGCAAGCGCUCAAGAAGUGUAGCACACAUUUGUCAUGUCUGAAAUCAGGAUUGGAUGAGGGACGAGUGAUAUUAGUCAUCAUUAGGGAAGAGAGGAGGAGGGAGGACGAGGACGGAAAUGAGCGUUCCCGUUUGGUAAUGCUGUCGAACAAGGUUGCGGUAAAACUGCAUUUCUCUUCUUGACAGGUGUAGAAAUGAUUUGGAAAGAGAAUCUGGCAUUGGAAUUUUCUUUUUUUUUUAUGAAAUGAAAUUUUCUUUCAGAAGACAGGUCAUUUCUUUCACAGGGAAAGACUGCCUCUUUUAACUUUGUAUUUACUGACUCAGUCUGAAAAGAUAGAUACUUGGCAGGAGGACUGAAAAAGUUCAUCGAUUAGAUGCAGAAAUUAUAGCUUUUACUCAGAUCUCUGUUUUCUUAUUGUUCUUUUGUCUUGGAUUUAGGCUUCAUUAAAAAGAGAAUUUUAUGUCUUCAAAGAUGUCCAAAGGAGAUGGUUAAAAAACAGUAAUUAAGUUAUUUAGCCAUCAAAAGCAAGUCCAAAAUGUGGAGUUUUUGUUGUCUUGCUUAAAGACUGUUGAUCCAAAAAAAACAAACAAAAAAAACGAUGUCACCUUAGGAUCUAGUUUGGGAAAUUGUCACUACUUUUUAACACAAUUUGCACUCAGAGCAGAUUUCAUCAUUCUUUUCAGCUUCACACAGAACAUCGGGUCAUUUUUCACCAGUAUUGCAGCUAGUUACCGCAUGAUGACAUUCCUUGCCCCCCCUCCACACACUCACACACACAUGAAGUUGCACCACUGACAGUGAAUACAAAUGUAAUCUCUCAACUCUGACAGUCUGUUAUCUUGAUCCCAUUCUGGUGAACCAUUUUCCUCCCAUGUUCACAAACCGGUGUUUCAUUCUCACCCCGUGUCACUGCCUCCAUCCCUCACAUCUGUCUGUCUAAUGGCCCCACAGACUCUCUCUGGAUACUUCAUUAUGAUGACAGACAUCCGCCAGACGAGCAGAGCCUUCAUGUGUGUGUCCAAUUCAGGAAUCACUUUCUUUGCUCUUUUACACGCCCCGCUCAGUGACCCUGCUUUCACCUGGAAUUAAAAUGGGUCAAUGAAAUCCCAAGGAAAAGAGGUGAGAGAACAGAGUCCUGGUUCAGAUGCAGCCAAAGGGAUGAAAUCAGAUAAUCCGGAUCUAAGGGAUCUUAACCUUAACCCUGAACCUACUCCCUUAAGGGAAUCUCUGCAAAGGAACAGAAUCUGUACUCAGGAGUCUGGAUUUAACGCAUGGGAAGGGUUGGCUGCUGUUUGCAGUAUAUAUGUGGUAGAAAUGCCAAUCAAAUCAGCAGAGGUUACAGUUAAUACUUUUACUUAUUCAUUAUAAUGUUAUUUCAAAGUUAAAAUUACUAUAGGGUCAAACACACAGUAACACUGAGUUAGACACCCCCUCAAAAGAUUAAUGUUGCCGACUGCUUGCUUUUCCAGUUAUACCAACUUUAGUAACGUCCGCACAAUAGCAAUACACAGCGGUCUGAGGAGCCAUAAACAAACGUCAACCAAAACGCCACUCUAUAGCCACAAAUAAUGCUCAGAAUUGCACCAAACUUCAUCAAUUUCCUUAGCAAAGAGACUAAACACAAGUCAUCUACUCUCUUCCAGCAGCCGUUUGUUUGUAGCGAGACCUUGGGCCAAUCCAUUUCGGACAGCUGCGUGGUGACGCAGCUCAAGGAAGAACAGUUAUGAUCAUUUCUUUAUCAUUUUCUUGAAGUAAUAAUCACCAUAUUAAUCAUUUCGCACUGCAGACACGGUAGUUCUUCUGGUCUGAUUGCAUUUCCAUGAAGAAAUGAUCAUAAAUGUUCUUCCUUGAGCUGCGCCACCCCUCUGCAGUCCGUAAUGGACUGCCCUGAGGUCUCACUACAAACAAAUGGCUGCUGGAAGAGAGUAGGUGAGUUGUGUUUAGUCUCUUUACUAAAGAAACCAGGCAAAAUUAAAAAGAUGUUUGGUGGCUAGUACUAUGGCUGGGACCCUAUAUGUACUGUUGAUGAAGUUAGUUGCUGUUCUGAGCAUUAUUUGUGGCUACAGAGUGGCUUUUUGGUUGAGGUUUGUUUUUGGCUCCUCAGACCGCUGUGUAUUGCUAUCCUGUGGUCAUUACUAAAGUUGGUAUAACUAGAGAAGCAAGCGGUUGGCAACAUUCAUCUCUCGAGGGGGCGUCUAACUUGGUGUUACGGUGUGUUUGACCCUAAAUUAAUUUUACACUGAAAUAUCCCUUUAAG
rnacentral:lncRNA from 1 species